rnacentral:rRNA from 1 species
CCUACGGGAGGCAGCAGUGAGGAAUAUUGGUCAAUGGACGAGAGUCUGAACCAGCCAAGUAGCGUGAAGGAUGACUGCCCUAUGGGUUGUAAACUUCUUUUAUAUGGGAAUAAAAUGUUCCACGUGUGGGAUUUUGUAUGUACCAUAUGAAUAAGGAUCGGCUAACUCCGUGCCAGCAGCCGCGGUAAUACGGAGGAUCCGAGCGUUAUCCGGAUUUAUUGGGUUUUAAGGGGGCGUAGGUGGAUUGUUAAGUCAGUUGUGAAAGUUUGCGGCUCAACCGUAAAAUUGCAGUUGAAACUGGCAGUCUUGAGUACAGUAGAGGUGGGCGGAAUUCGUGGUGUAGCGGUGAAAUGCUUAGAUAUCACGAAGAACUCCGAUUGCGAAGGCAGCUCACUGGACUGCAACUGACACUGAGGCUCGAAAGUGUGGGUAGCAAACAGGAUUAGAUACCCGUGUAGUC